rnacentral:lncRNA from 1 species
GAUGAGUUAGAGUUGGAAUGGGGUCGUGAUAGAGGUGAUGAGUUAGAGUUGGAAGGAAAUGAUGAUAGUAGUGAUGAGUUAGAGUUGGAAGGGAAUGGCGAUAGUGGUGAUGAGGAAGGGAAUGACGAUAGUAGUGAUAAGUUAGAGUUGGAAGGGAAUGGCGAUAGUGGUAAUGAGGAAGGGAAUGACGAUAGUAGUGAUGAGUUAGAGUUGGAAGGGAAUGAUGAUAGUGGUGAUGAGGAAGGGAAUGACGAUAGUAGUGAUGAGUUAGAGUUGGAACAGAAUGACGAUAGUGGUGUUGAACAAAAUGGAGCAG